AUACUGCAGUCGAGCGAACAGACGAGGAGCUUGCUCCUUUGACGUUAGCGGCGGACGGGUGAGUAACACGUAGGUAACCUACCUAUAAGACUGGGAUAACUUCGGGAAACCGGAGCUAAUACCGGAUAAUAUUUCGAACCGCAUGGUUCGAUAGUGAAAGAUGGCUUUGCUAUCACUUAUAGAUGGACCUGCGCCGUAUUAGCUAGUUGGUAAGGUAACGGCUUACCAAGGCAACGAUACGUAGCCGACCUGAGAGGGUGAUCGGCCACACUGGAACUGAGACACGGUCCAGACUCCUACGGGAGGCAGCAGUAGGGAAUCUUCCGCAAUGGGCGAAAGCCUGACGGAGCAACGCCGCGUGAGUGAUGAAGGUCUUCGGAUCGUAAAACUCUGUUAUUAGGGAAGAACAAACGUGUAAGUAACUGUGCACGUCUUGACGGUACCUAAUCAGAAAGCCACGGCUAACUACGUGCCAGCAGCCGCGGUAAUACGUAGGUGGCAAGCGUUAUCCGGAAUUAUUGGGCGUAAAGCGCGCGUAGGCGGUUUUUUAAGUCUGAUGUGAAAGCCCACGGCUCAACCGUGGAGGGUCAUUGGAAACUGGAAAACUUGAGUGCAGAAGAGGAAAGUGGAAUUCCAUGUGUAGCGGUGAAAUGCGCAGAGAUAUGGAGGAACACCAGUGGCGAAGGCGACUUUCUGGUCUGUAACUGACGCUGAUGUGCGAAAGCGUGGGGAUCAAACAGGAUUAGAUACCCUGGUAGUCCACGCCGUAAACGAUGAGUGCUAAGUGUUAGGGGGUUUCCGCCCCUUAGUGCUGCAGCUAACGCAUUAANCACUCCGCCUGGGGAGUACGACCGCAAGGUUGAAACUCAAAGGAAUUGACGGGGACCCGCACAAGCGGUGGAGCAUGUGGUUUAAUUC
rnacentral:rRNA from 1 species